rnacentral:rRNA from 1 species
GAUUCCUUGCCAAGCGCUUAAAACCCAAAGGAAUUGACGGUGCCCUAUAACCAUCUAGAGGAGCCUGUCCUAUAAUCGAAAACCCACGUUUAACCUCACCACCCCUAGUUUAUCAGCCUGUAUACCUCCGUCGUCAGCUUACCUCGUGAGCGCUGCAUAGUGAGCAUAAUGUCUCCCAACAACACGUCAGGUCAAGGUGCAGCAAAUGGGGUGGGAAGAGAUGGGCUACACUUUCUACUUUAGAACACACGGAAAACUACUAUGAAAUCUAGUUUGAAGGCGGAUUUAGCAGUAAAAAGAGACCAUAAUACUCAUUUUAAUCUGGCACUAGGGUGUGUACACACCGCCCGUCACCCUCUUCGAACAAUUUAUU